CCGUAGCUCAGUGGUUAGAGCGGUCGGCUCAUAACCGAUUGGUCGCAGGUUCGAUCCCUGCCGGGCC
rnacentral:tRNA from 1 species